CUGAACUUUACUGCCCUGAACCUCCAACCUCCAAGUUCCAACGUGCCCUCCAUGAACUGAACCUCUCUCCCUAUAUACAUAUGUAUGCAUAUGCAUGAAGAAGUGUGUAUGUGUGUGUACUACGGCUACGGCUACUGGCCAAGUUGCUGCACAUAUAUGUGUGUACUGUUUAAUUACAUGCCGUAUUUAUGCAUGUAUGAACUGCUGCUGUGUGUGUGUGUGUGUGUGUGUGUGUGUGUGAUGCGAAGUUGCUGCAUGGUUAACUGCUAGAUCCAUCCAUGGAUCGGUCUAUGUGUUUUUGGUUGCCUUUUUGAGAGACUAAGAAUAUCCUGCUUAAGUUGCAGAUCAAGUUGUAUCAAGCCAUGUUCUCUGUUUUUCCUCUGUGAAAAUUCCGUCCUCUGUUUUUAUUACUCCUUUCUCGUUUAUCAUUGCAUAUUUUCUAGAGCUACUAUGUGUGAUCAUAAGUCGCUGUAUGGUUAACCGAUGGAUCGCUCUGUGUUUUCAUUUUCCU
rnacentral:lncRNA from 1 species